rnacentral:tRNA from 1 species
AGAUAUUAAGUUAAACUAAUUAAACUAUUAAUUUUCAAAAUUAAAAAUAUAUUUUAUCUUAA